UACGUAGGGCGCAAGCGUUGUCCGGAAUUAUUGGGCGUAAAGAGCUCGUAGGCGGUCUGUCGCGUCUGCUGUGAAAACUCAGGGCUUAACCCUGAGCUUGCAGUGGGUACGGGCAGACUAGAGUGCGGUAGGGGAGACUGGAAUUCCUGGUGUAGCGGUGAAAUGCGCAGAUAUCAGGAGGAACACCGGUGGCGAAGGCGGGUCUCUGGGCCGUAACUGACGCUGGAGGAGCGAAAAGCAUGGGGAGCGAACAGG
rnacentral:rRNA from 1 species